GACGAACGCUGGCGGCGUGCUUAACACAUGCAAGUCGAACGGAAAGGCCCUGCUUUUGUUGGUUGCUCGAGUGGCGAACGGGGGAGUAACACGUGUGUAACCUGCCCUUGACUUUGGGGUAACUUCAGGAAACUGCGGCUAAUACACGAUAUGAGCUCCUGCUGCGUGGUGGGGGUUGGUAAGUUUCGGCGGUUGUGGCUCGACUCGCGGCUUAUCCGCUUGUUUGGCGGGUAGUGGCGUACGAGGGCUAAGACGGGUAGCCGGCCUGAGAGGGUUACCGGGCACAUUGGGACUGCGAUACGGCGCAGACUCGUACGGGAGGCAGCAGGGGGGAGUAUUGCACAAUGGGGGGAAGCGUGAUGCAGCAACGCCGCGAGCGUGAUGACGGCCUUCGGGUUGUAAACCGCUUUCGCAUGUGACGAAGCGUGAGUGACGGUAAUGGGUAAAGAAGCACCGGCUAACUACGUG
rnacentral:rRNA from 1 species